rnacentral:lncRNA from 1 species
CUCUAUAUAUACAUAUAUAUAAACUGCAUAAAUUCAUUGCAUAUGAAGAAAAUAUGUAGAACUAUUCAAACAAUUUCUCACCUAGCAUCAUACUCGAACUGCGAUCGUGGAUGACUCCUUGUACACCAAUGCACCCAAACCUACAAAACAAACGAUGACAAUUACUCCGACUGGGAUUUUGACUUCAUUCCCACUGAUUAUUUCACUACCAUAUGAUGUAUUAUGUAUUGUGAUCAGAACUCGAA